GACGUAGGGCGCGAGCGUUGUCCGGAUUUAUUGGGCGUAAAGAGCUCGUAGGCGGCUUGUCGCGUCGACCGUGAAAACUUGGGGCUCAACCCUAAGCCUGCGGUCGAUACGGGCAGGCUCGAGUUCGGUAGGGGAGACUGGAAUUCCUGGUGUAGCGGUGAAAUGCGCAGAUAUCAGGAGGAACACCGAUGGCGAAGGCAGAUCUCUGGGCCGUAACUGACGCUGAGGAGCGAAAGCAUGGGGAGCGAACAGG
rnacentral:rRNA from 1 species